AAGUCGUAACAAGGUAACCGUAGGGGAACCUGCGGUUGGAUCACCUCCUUACCUUAAAGAACCUGCCUUUGUAGUGCUCACACAGAUUGUCUGAUGAAAAGUAAAUAGCAGGCGUCUUGCGAUUGAGACUUCAGUGUCCCCUUCGUCUAGAGGCCCAGGACACCGCUCUUUCACGGCGGUAACAGGGGUUCGAAUCCCCUAGGGGACGCCACUUGCUGGUUCGUGAGUGAAAGUCACCUGCCGUCAUAUCUCAAAACUGACUUGCGAGUCAUGUUUGAGAUAUUUGCUCUUUAAAAAUCUGGAUCAAGCUGAAAAUUGAAACGACACACAUGUUAUGUGUGUUCGAGUCUCUCAAAUUUUCGCAAACCGAUGAUGAAUCGAAAGAAACAUCUUCGGGUUGUGAGGUUAAGCGACUAAGCGUACACGGUGGAUGCCCUGGCAGUCAGAGGCGAUGAAGGACGUGCUAAUCUGCGAAAAGCGCCGGCGAGGUGAUAUGAACCUUUGACCCGGCGAUUUCCGAAUGGGGAAACCCA
rnacentral:misc_RNA from 1 species